CAGGAGGCAGAGCCCUCGAUGUCGAUCUCUCUGAGGUGCGGGGGGCGACAUCCACAGAGGAGCUGCCCCCUGAGCUAACAGACUCUGACCCUGGAACCUCUGCAGUGGCUCCCUGCGAAGCGACAGUGUGCGACAAAGCAGAGGGACGUGGCUGUGGUUAGGUCACCACCUGCAUGGUGACUUCCUCCUCCUCCCUCUCUCCUCUCAUGCUUGUGCUCUGAUGAGCGAGCUGGAGUUUUUAAGGUGGCGAUCCGCUGAGGGCCACCACUACCACGUUCAAGCCAGGAACCGCGACUCCCGGACACAGGGACAACCGUAUACUGCGUGGACGUGGGUCCUGAUCCCAGAGUGUCUCGGGAGGUCUUGCUCCACCGUGCCCGCUUGUCAACCUGCUCUCCCCGCUGCGGGUCCCUGCCUUGUCCACAAGAGGAAGCAGACAAGAUGCGUGUUCCUCAUUCCGCGCAGCACCC
rnacentral:lncRNA from 1 species